rnacentral:rRNA from 1 species
UAAUACGUAGGGUGCGAGCGUUGUCCGGAAUUAUUGGGCGUAAAGAGCUCGUAGGCGGCCUGUUGCGUCUGCUGUGAAAGCCCGGGGCUCAACCCCGGGUCUGCAGUGGAUACGGGCAGGCUAGAGUCCGGCAGGGGAGACUGGAAUUCCUGGUGUAGCGGUGAAAUGCGCAGAUAUCAGGAGGAACACCGGUGGCGAAGGCGGGUCUCUGGGCCGGUACUGACGCUGAGGAGCGAAAGCGUGGGGAGCGAACAGGA